UGCCAGCCGCCGCGGUAAUACGGAGGGUCCAAGCGUUAAUCGGAAUUACUGGGCGUAAAGCGCGCGUAGAUGGUUUAUUCAGUUGGGUGUGAAAUCCCUGGGCUCAACCUAGGAACUGCAUUCAAAACUUAUAAACUAGAGUACGAAAGAGGAGAGUAGAAUUCAUGGUGUAGCGGUGAAAUGCGUAGAGAUCAUGAGGAAUACCAGUGGCGAAGGCGACUCUCUGGUUCGAGACUGACAUUGAGGUGCGAAAGCGUGGGUAGCAAACAGGAUUAGAUA
rnacentral:rRNA from 1 species